rnacentral:rRNA from 1 species
UACGUAGGGACCAAGCGUUGUCCGGAAUCAUUGGGCGUAAAGAGCGUGUAGGCGGCUUGUUAAGUCUUGUGUGAAAUCUCGGGGCUCAACCCCGAGCGGUCAUGAGAAACUGGCAGGCUAGAGUGCGGGAGAGGAGAGUGGAAUUCCUGGUGUAGCGGUGAAAUGCGCAGAUAUCAGGAAGAACACCGAUGGCGAAGGCAGCUCGCUGGGACGUGACUGACGCUGAGACGCGAAAGCGUGGGGAGCAAACAGG